rnacentral:lncRNA from 1 species
CUCCUAAUGGAGAAGAGAAAGAUACUUUGAAUUCCUAUUUACCGUUUAUGACGCAAAAGCUGAUGUGGAGUUACUUUUUAUGACAGGUGGACCAUAAAUAAGGACUGAGAUGAGUUCUCUACUGAAGAUGGUCUUAUACUCUUAAAACAUAUGAUAGCAAGGAUCCUCCCUAACUAACAUUAUCUUGUUGCUAGUGCUCAUGUUAUUUGUGGAAGAAAUUAAAGAACGUCAUAUCAUUUACGUAUGUGGAUAUAGUGUCAAGGAAUUAUUUAUAAAUACGUUUAUUUUUGGGUAUCUUUAUAAAUACGUUUGUUAACUUUAAUUUUCAAC